rnacentral:rRNA from 1 species
GAUGAACGCUGGCGGCGUGCCUAAUACAUGCAAGUCGAGCGAACAGACGAGGAGCUUGCUCCUCUGACGUUAGCGGCGGACGGGUGAGUAACACGUGGAUAACCUACCUAUAAGACUGGGAUAACUUCGGGAAACCGGAGCUAAUACCGGAUAAUAUAUUGAACCGCAUGGUUCAAUAGUGAAAGACGGUUUUGCUGUCACUUAUAGAUGGAUCCGCGCCGCAUUAGCUAGUUGGUAAGGUAACGGCUUACCAAGGCAACGAUGCGUAGCCGACCUGAGAGGGGGGACGGGCCCACUGGAACUGGGACAACGGCCCAGCCCCCUAGGGGAGGAAGAGGUGGGGAAUGUUCCGAAAGGGGGGAAAGCCGGAGGGAGCAACGCGGGGGGGGGAAAGAAGGGUUUGGGUUGGAAAACCUUUUUUAUGGGGGAAAAAAAAAUGUGAAAGUAACUAUGCGGGUGUGAAGGGAACCAAAAAAGAAGGCCGGGGUAAACUAGGU